CAUCUAUAUUCGUUCCCCUCCUUUCUUAUUGUUUCUACCAAUCUCUCUUGCCAAAAGCUGAGACAACCCGAGAGAGAAAAGUGGACUGAUGCUGGUGCUGUCCCAUGCGUGUCCAAGUGCUGCAUUGUUUUAGAAUUUCUGCUUUUGACCGAGUGGAAUGCUGCAGGUGCUGCUUUGGACGCAUCACUCAUCAUUCUCCCACUCACCCUCAUUAUUUAACUGAUCGCCAUUCCCUGCAAACCACGCAUCUCACUCUCUUGUAUGCUUUUAUUUCUUUAUUCUUUUCUCCUUCCCCUGUGCUCCUUCUUUCCUCUUCUCUUUAGGACUAAGUGUCAGUGACAGAAUGUGAGUCUGAAAGAGAGAUAAGAUAGAGACUCGAUUCUACCAUGAUCCACGGCACCGAACCCGUAGCCAGCCGUGACUUGUGCUCACUUGAUCCUCCCUUAGCCGAUUUCCAGCAGCAAACCGUCCAGCCCACUGACCCACCAAACAGAAGAAACCAGACCCAGCAAUCCGGCAUGAACCCAGCUCUACCCAUUAACCCGUGAACCCCGAAACCCAUGCCGCACCAUUCCAGCAACCUGUAGCUCAGCAAACUCAGAAGAAACCCGUGACCCAGCCGAGCUCGACUCGUGGACGUGUGCCGGAGAUGAUGAAUUGAGACAGCACAAAAGGACUAUGUUUGCGCAGGUACUGAAGAUUAUGGAAUGGAUUAACUGCUAGCUUAAAAGAUUUAAAGCUGUGUAGUUAGGAUUUUAGUACUUGUACUCAUAGAUGUUUGUACUAUUUGCUUGUAAUAUGUUUAGACAUUUACUUGUAAUUAAUAAGUUCCAUGCAUGCUUUAGUGUCACAUGUGACAUAUGUUCCUUUAUAAAUAGUGUAAAGAUUUUUAAUGUAUUUUCUAGAAGAUGUCAGUUAAAGCUCUGAAUAUAUCGUAAGGGAAUUGUCCCUAUCGGUGAUGUUUUAAAAAAAAAAAGAUAUUCGUAUUUUUC